GUUUCAGGCCAAUGAAUGAGACAGAGGUGAUCAUGCAGUAGUGAAAAAAUCGAAUUAAGGGGAAAAUAUUGGGCAAUUACGUUUUAGUCAUGUCUUUAUUUUCCUAAUGCAAUGGCAGACAACAUACAACUAUAAAGCUGUCACGAGAGAGUUCACUUUCUUUUCAUGUAACCCUUUCACACGCUCGAGUUGCUUGCGCUUUGACUUGACUUUCAAUCAAGUCCGGUUCGGAGGCGCUGUGAAACCAGAAAGUUCGACAGACAGAGAGCUGGCUGGUGGCCGAGAUUACUUUCCAUGUGUUCUGUGUACUCCCUUCAUAAACACUUUUCAAUUCAAAUGCAGGAAAACAACACUGCUAGCAUAAAAGGGAGAGCAGAGAGUUGAGGGUUGUUGUUCUUCCAGAAGCUACUGCUAGACCGAGCUGAGCCGACCGAGGGACUUUUUACUAGACACAGAUCAAGCCUGCGGUGCAGCACCGUGAUGUGGGCGGGACUAAGCCUGCUCCUGGCUCUCUGCCUGCUCCCUGGGGGCGGAACAGAGAGUGAGGGGGAAGGGACCCGCUGUAAGCAGCCACCUGGUUGGAGUAUUGGGGAGGUGGAGCCUAUGAAGGAGGUCUUGGGCCAGGUCACAGUGGUGGCCCUACUCCAGGCCAGUUGAUUGUUCUGCUUGGUGCAGGCAUCCUUAUUGGAUGGGCUGCGCCUGAAGCUGGAGGGUCAGGGUCUGGAGAAUGUGACCUAUAUGGUAGUGAACCACCAGGGGGAGCAGGCCCAGCGCCUACACACCCUGCUGAGGCAGAAACUGUCUGAGAACAUCACGCUAUACAAACAACAGCCCAAACAGGAAGAUGUGUGGCAGACCCUGGCCGGAGAGAAGGAUGACUUCCUCAUCUAUGACAGAUGUGGUCGUCUGACCUACCAUAUCUCCCUGCCCUACUCCAUCCUGGGUACUCCCUAUGUAGAGAACGCCAUCAAGGAGACCUACUGCACACGCGUCUGUGGGGACUGCACGUAUGAGAGCAAGGAGAUCCCAGCAGAGUGCAACAGGACAGUAGAGGCGAAGCCUGAGGGAGAGGAGAAGCCAGUCACCGGAAGGGAGACAACUCAUGGUGGACACGGCCAUCAUCACCAUGGUCACGGUCACAAUGGCAACCGCCAUGGUCACAAUGGCAAUCGCCAUGGUCACGAUCACCAUGGUGAGAGGGGGAUGGGGCGCGGUCACGGUCGUGAUCAUGGGGCCGAGCAGCAGCACCAACAUGACACUGAGGGGCUCCAACACGGCCAGGCCCAUGGCCAGUUGCAUGUUGGUCAGGAGCAUAUGGGUCAGCAGGCGGUGCAACUGGGCCAGAUGCCCCAGGAAGGGCAGCGAGGCCAUAUUAUGCAGAAUCCCUGAGUGAAGGGGAGGUCCAGGUGAAAGGCGGAGCACAGCUGACAGUGGAAGGAGGGGUCUGAUCUAAGUCCCUCUUCCAAGGCCAGCUGAUGCUGACACUGACGGAGGCUGUUUGGCGAUGGGGUGAGCAACGAGCCAAUCGGGCUCUGACACUGUGAUGAGGCGCUGCCCGCCUCCUGACAGUGACAGGGACUGAUGGGCCUCAGGGAGACCUGACAGUGACGCUCGUCCCUCGCUGACUGACAGCAGCCUCAGCCAGUCAUGUGAGCCUGACCCCUGGGUGUUGAGAGCUGAGGGUGAGGGCUGCUGUAAGCAGGGCCAUGGCUCUGUGACAGUUACCUUGCUAUACCUUAUAGGCCUCAGAUUAACAUCUGUGAGACAAACACCCGGGGUGAACCGCUCUUAUAACAUCUUACCAACUAGUAUUACCCUGGGACCGUGAAGCCACCCCUGACAGAGAGGGAUGGGAGGACACACAUUGGGUGUGGUAGGUGAAUGCCAAGCCUAAACCCAUUCCGAUAUGGGGAAAAGGAUUGCAUUUGAGAUGUGACCAUAGUGAUGGUAAGACGGCAAGGUGGGUGUCCUCCACCAUCUCCUUCUCUGUCAGUGCGUUGGUGUCACCCUCCCAGGAGUGUAUGGGGUGAUUAUGUUAACGUUUCUCCUGCUCUGUUUUGCUCCCUCCAUCCACAGUGAAGGCAGGCGCAGAAACUACGCUCUAGUGGCGUCUGUCUGAUGUCCGGCUGGGGAGAGGGGAACGGGAGGGACUUAUAAUAUGACCACCCCCUAAAGUUCAAAAUAUCGAGAGCUUUGGAAGGAGUAUGUAGUAGUAGUUGCCUAUGCUGAACAAACUGGCAUGAUGGCUGGGAGAGAUAGACCUGAACCAAAGUUGUUAUACUCAGCGUUAGCUAAACCAAUUUGGUUCAAAUACAUUAUUGAUAGUUCAGAUUUUUUUUAUUAGGCCUCCAAAAAAAUUGGUAUCUGUAACAUUUUACUUUUGCAAUUUAAUUAACUCUCAGCUGUUUUGGAGCAGUAGUGUGUUAUGUAGAUAAAGCUUUCAAACGUCAGUAUCCAUUGCUUACAGCUGUGAGGAUGUGUGUUUAGUUAGUCACUGAGUUAUUUUAGUUUGGCAAUAUUGCACAUAUGUAUAAUGCACUCUUUGUGAACUAGCAAAACAGAGUGAACUGUUUUGAACUAACAAAAUAGUGAACACUUUUUUUUUUUUCAACUAACAAAUUAUCGGGAACACUUUUUAACUAGCAAAAUAAACCGUCUAGAAUGAGAGGUGGGUAAACAGAAAAGAUUGAACGAUUGUUUGAAUCCAUUCUGUACUUAAUGAAGGGCUCUAGGGGAAGACGACUGUCACCUAGAACACCUGAUGCUUUGUACAGAACACGUUCAUUCUGACUGUGGACUGUUAGGUGGUGUAGCAUGUAAGAAACAACGAAUAAAGAUGGUUGAUGCACUCAUUG